rnacentral:rRNA from 1 species
AUGCACGCUGGCGGCGUGCCUCAUACCUGCCAGUCGAGCGAACGGACGAGAAGCUUGCUUUUCUGAUGUUAGCGGCGGACGGGUGAGUAACACGUGGAUAACCUACCUAUAAGUCUGGGAUAACUUCGGGAAACCGGAGCUAAUACCGGAUAAUAUUUUGAACCGCAUGGUUCAUAAGUGAAAGACGGUCUUGCUGUCACUUAUAGAUGGAUCCGCGCUGCAUUAGCUAGUUGGUAAGGUAACGGCUUACCAAGGCAACGAUGCAUAGCCGACCUGAGAGGGUGAUCGGCCACACUGGAACUGAGACACGGUCCAGACUCCUACGGGAGGCAGCAGUAGGGAAUCUUCCGCAAUGGGCGAAAGCCUGACGGAGCAACGCCGCGUGAGUGAUGAAGGUCUUCGGAUCGUAAAACUCUGUUAUUAGGGAAGAACAUAUGUGUAAGUAACUGUGCACAUCUUGACGGUACCUAAUCAGAAAGCCACGGCUAACUACGUG